CGCCAGACUCCUACGGGAGGCAGCAGUGGGGAAUAUUGCACAAUGGGCGAAAGCCUGAUGCAGCAACGCCGCGUGAAGGAAGAAGGGUUUCGGCUCGUAAACUUCUAUCAACAGGGACGAAAGAAAUGACGGUACCUGACCAAGAAGCCCCGGCUAACUACGUGCCAGCAGCCGCGGUAAUACGUAGGGGGCGGGCGUUAUCCGGAUUCACUGGGCGUAAAGGGAGCGCAGGCGGCACGGCAAGUCCGGUGUGAAAGCCCGGGGCCCAACCCCGGGACUGCACUGGAAACUGUGCGGCUUGAGUGCGGGAGGGGCAGGCGGAAUUCCUAGUGUAGCGGUGAAAUGCGUAGAUAUUAGGAGGAACACCGGCGGCGAAGGCGGCCUGCUGGACCGUAACUGACGUUGAGGCUCGAAAGCGUGGGGAGCAAACAGGAUUAGAUACCCUAGUA
rnacentral:rRNA from 1 species